rnacentral:rRNA from 1 species
AUUGAACGCUGGGGGCAGGCCUAACACAUGCAAGUCGAGCGGUAGAGAGAAGCUUGCUUCUCUAGAGAGCGGCGGACGGGUGAGUAAUGCCUAGGAAUCUGCCUGGUAGUGGGGGAUAACGUUCGGCAACGGACGCUAAUACCGCAUACGUCCUACGGGAGAAAGCAGGGGACCUUCGGGCCUUGCGCUAUCAGAUGAGCCUAGGUCGGAUUAGCUAGUUGGUGGGGUAAUGGCUCACCAAGGCGACGAUCCGUAACUGGUCUGAGAGGAUGAUCAGUCACACUGGAACUGAGACACGGUCCAGACUCCUACGGGAGGCAGCAGUGGGGAAUAUUGGACAAUGGGCGAAAGCCUGAUCCAGCCAUGCCGCGUGUGUGAAGAAGGUCUUCGGAUUGUAAAGCACUUUAAGUUGGGAGGAAGGGCAGUUACCUAAUACGUGAUUGUUUUGACGUUACCGACAGAAUAAGCACCGGCUAACUCUGUGCCAGCAGCCGCGGUAAUACAGAGGGUGCAAGCGUUAAUCGGAAUUACUGGGCGUAAAGCGCGCGUAGGUGGUUUGUUAAGUUGGAUGUGAAAUCCCCGGGCUCAACCUGGGAACUGCAUUCAAAACUGACUGACUAGAGUAUGGUAGAGGGUGGUGGAAUUUCCUGU